GACGAACGCUGGCGGCGUGCCUAAUACAUGCAAGUGGAACGCAUUGGUAACACCGGACUUGCUCCAGUGUUACUAAUGAGUCGCGAACGGGUGAGUAACGCGUAGGUAACCUGCCUGAUAGCGGGGGAUAACUAUUGGAAACGAUAGCUAAUACCGCAUAAGAGGAGUUAACUCAUGUUAACUGUUUAAAAGAAGCAACGGCUUCACUAUCAGAUGGACCUGCGUUGUAUUAGCUAGUAGGUAGGGUAACGGCCUACCUAGGCAACGAUACAUAGCCGACCUGAGAGGGUGAACGGCCACACUGGGACUGAGACACGGCCCAGACUCCUACGGGAGGCAGCAGUAGGGAAUCUUCGGCAAUGGACGCAAGUCUGACCGAGCAACGCCGCGUGAGUGAAGACGGUUUUCGGAUCGUAAAGCUCUGUUGU
rnacentral:rRNA from 1 species